CCUACGGGAGGCAGCAGUGAGGAAUAUUGGUCAAUGGACGAGAGUCUGAACCAGCCAAGUAGCGUGAAGGAUGAAUGCCCUAUGGGUUGUAAACUUCUUUUAUAUGGGAAUAAAAUGUUCCACGUGUGGGAUUUUGUAUGUACCAUAUGAAUAAGGAUCGGCUAACUCAGUGCCAGCAGCCGCGGUAAUACGGAGGAUCCGAGCGUUAUCCGGAUUUAGUGGGUUUAAAGGGAGCGUAGGUGGAUGGUUAAGUCAGUUGUGAAAGUUUGCGGCUCAACCGUAAAAUUGCAGUUGAAACUGGCAGUCUUGAGUACAGUAGAGGUGAGCGGAAUUCGUGGUGUAGCGGUGAAAUGCUUAGAUAUCACGAAGAACUCCGAUUGCGAAGGCAGCUCACUGGACUGCAACUGACACUGAGGCUCGAAAGUGUGGGUAUCAAACAGGAUUAGAUACCCCUGUAGUC
rnacentral:rRNA from 1 species